CCCCUCAGUCCACCAGAGCCCG
rnacentral:miRNA from 1 species